UUGCACUUCAACACACAAACUGCAGAGGGCGCUGCUGCACACUCAGUGGAGGCAGCUUCAUGACAACGCUCCUGAUUGCCUUUUGCUUUUGUGUAAAACAAAAAACAGGAAAACAACAAGAACAAAAUAUUUAGGAAAUACACAAACUUAUUUAUUCUUUAAAUGUAGGAAAUGUCUAUGGCUAGUCCGUCUGGGCUCAGUAGUGAGGAACUUGUUAACCUUGUAGUGUGCAGGGGGCACAGUGUCCACCCAUGUGCAACGACUUUGAAUUCUUAUUCGCUGCUGACUGCGGUCCCCAAGAAUACUGAAUAAAUGCGCAGCAGUGUGCUACCCUGAGCAGGGAACACGAUAUCAUGGAGUUUCUAACAUGGAGCAAGGUGAAGGUGAUGC
rnacentral:misc_RNA from 1 species